rnacentral:rRNA from 1 species
UCUCCGCACCCCUGUGAAAACGCCCUUAAAUCCCCACUAGGGAUAAGGAGCUGGUAUCAGGCACAAUACUUAGCCCAAGACACCUAGCUAUGCCACACCCACACGGAAGUUCAGCAGUGAUUAACAUUGAAAAUAAGCGACAGCUUGACUCAGUUAAAGUAAAAAGAGCCGGCAAAUCUGGUGCCAGCCGCCGCGGUUACACCAUGUGGCUCAAAUUGACCCCCUUCGGCGUAAAGCGUGAUUAAAGUUUUUACUAAAUUAUAGCUGAACUAAAACUAAGCUGUGACACGCUUGUAUUUAGGAAAAUCAAAAACGAAAGUUACUGUAAUUAAAACAACUUGAACCCACGACAGUUGAGACACAAACUGGGAUUAGAUACCCCACUAUGCUUAACCGUAAACUUUAAAUUACACCGAUAUCGCCU